AUGGAGAACGGAUUCCACGAUCCGAAAUCGUCCAUGGAAUAUCUUCCACUUUUCUUCCUAUAAUAGGAAUAAAAUCCUCGGAAUUCCAAGCUAUCCUCCAUGGAUAAAUUCCACUUUAUUCCAAGCAAGAUACCAUGGAAUAAUUCCAUAUAUAUUCCUUUUGGCCAUCCAUGGAUAUUAGAAUGGAAUAUUUUCCAUGGUGAUAAAUCCGCGGAAUAUCCAUGGGUUUUCCACGGAAUAAUUCGCUCUUUGCGCGUCCCCACGCGAUUACGUCAGUCUUGUGAAAUUCUUCUCAUAGGAAAGAACGCGAAAAGUGCUGAAUGUAUGCGAUGGAGACGGCACAGGGACCCCACAGUCAGAGAAGACUCGAGGUUUCCGGACAACGUCAAAGUAGGAGAAACAAUCAAUGAAAAUAGGAUGCGGAAAAGCGGUUACCGGAGGAUCUACUUAUCCGACAGAGUGUGACUCAUGACAAGCUUUUUUCAAACAUAUCCGGACCGGUGCGAGAAGACAUCAAAGAGCAUCUCGACUUCCGGCGACCGCGGUAGCAGUCGUCUAGAAAAGUAGCAGUCCCUGGGAAGCGGCAUAGCAGCCACCAAGGCAACGCGUAAUCACAAUCAGAAUCACAUUUGUAAGAUUGAUUGGUUAUAUUUAAUAAAUACAAAUCCAAAUAUAAAUGAGUCUUUUUUUGGAUAUUUUGGGGCGGAGCGCCGGGAAUUUCUGGGAGAAAUUUCACACAUUGGAAUUUCCUCCAUGGUAUUCCUUGUAAUC